rnacentral:rRNA from 1 species
UAGGUGGCGAGCGUUGUCCGGAUUUACUGGGCGUAAAGCGUGCGUAGGCGGAUGUUUAAGGGGGAUGUGAAAUCCCCGGGCUUAACCUGGGGGCUGCAUUCCAAACUGGAUAUCUAGAGUGCAGGAGAGGAAAGCGGAAUUCCUAGUGUAGCGGUGAAAUGCGUAGAGAUUAGGAAGAACACCAGUGGCGAAGGCGGCUUUCUGGACUGUAACUGACGCUGAGGCACGAAAGCGUGGGGAGCAAACAGGAUU